CAGCAGCCGCGGGAAUACGUAGGUCCCGAGCGUUGUCCGGAUUUAUUGGGCGUAAAGCGAGCGCAGGCGGUUAGAUAAGUCUGAAGUUAAAGGCUGUGGCUUAACCAUAGUACGCUUUGGAAACUGUUUAACUUGAGUGCAAGAGGGGAGAGUGGAAUUCCAUGUGUAGCGGUGAAAUGCGUAGAUAUAUGGAGGAACACCGGUGGCGAAAGCGGCUCUCUGGCUUGUAACUGACGCUGAGGCUCGAAAGCGUGGGGAGCAAACAGGAUUAGAUACCCCAGUAGUCCCUGUCUCUUAUACC
rnacentral:rRNA from 1 species